GGACGAGUAGGGUCUGGGGUUGGGGGUGGGAGCGUUACCUGCGUGGAGCGGGUCUGUGGGCCCUUGUGGUGGGGCUGGGAGGGAGGAGGGCGUGGGAGAAGAGGAAGGCACUUUCCCCAGGGGCAAAGCUUGCGACCUGGCACUGAAGGCAGAGAUCUCCACACCUCUUUGCCGUGCAUUCCCACGAAGCGAUCGUCCUUCCUGUGCUCCAAAUUUCCCUCUUCCUGGGGAACCCCUGAAGAAAAGUACUACAGGGACGGAAGCAGAAACGUCUGCAAAUCUGGUAGGUGAAUUAAAGCAAUGCCUUCGCGGUUUUCAAUCCACAGCUAUUAAAGCUGGGCCUAUGUGCCUGGGUGAUUUAUCAGAGGCACCAUCUCUCCUUUCCUCCCGAGCCCAGUUGUACUCCACAAGCUGCAGCCAGUGACCUGUGUGGUGGUGGUUUUUUUUUUUUUUUUAGGUAAGUCAGUCAAAUACUGUGUUUCAAUGUGGGCAGGAAGCACUGAGGGAGGUGAAGUAAAGCUAUUGCAAGGCAUCAGACAGGUUGGCCAAAAGUUGUCCGCAGUAUUUGCGCGCUGCCUUCCGUUGCUGAAAACGGAGGACAGCGUUAACCUCUUUGCAGUAUCUUCUGCACCGAUGUGUCUGCUUUCCCACUCUGGCCUAGUCUUCAUGUUUUAUCCUUGAUCCUACCUUUGAAGGCUGGCUUGCUCCUUGUGGUGUCUCUUUGUCUCAUUAUUAAAUGAUGAGUUUAAAGAUUUACCUAGUGACUUGGGACUGAUGACCUGAACGCUAGCAGGAACCUAGGUCCUUUCCAUCCCCACAGAAAUGCAUGAGUUUCUCUGCUUAUUUGUCUGUGUAAACUGAAUGAAUGAGCUUCAUACAGCUUUAGCUUAUUCGCUUGCAAAUUGAAAGCUUUUAAGACACAGAGCUUGGUGGACUUGCCCCAGUCAGGUGACU
rnacentral:lncRNA from 1 species